UACAGAGGGUGCAAGCGUUAAUCGGAAUUACUGGGCGUAAAGCGUGCGUAGACGGUUACAUAAGUCGGGUGUGAAAGCCCCGGGCUCAACCUGGGAAUUGCAUUCGAGACUGCGUAGCUAGGGCGCGGAAGAGGGAAGCGGAAUUUCCGGUGUAGCGGUGAAAUGCGUAGAUAUCGGAAGGAACACCAGUGGCGAAAGCGGCUUCCUGGUCCAGCACCGACGUUCAGGCACGAAAGCGUGGGGAGCAAACAGG
rnacentral:rRNA from 1 species